UGUGAUCCUAAGAGGUGAGGAAGCGUGAGAAAAUACGGCGGCAGGAUAACGGCGAGCUGUCAGUGUCAGCUGUGUGCGCGAAAGAGUGAGCGAGAAAAACGAGACCGUGCGUUUCAGUUGGCUCCUAUCAUCACCAUCUUCGUCCUCGUUGUGCGAUGAAAGGAUAAGCAAGCCAGGGAAGCCAUCGUGCCAGGCUUUGCGAGGCUACGCCGGGAACCACUAACCAGAGUAACGACGCACACAAACGUGAGCGAAAAAAAAAAACAAAAAAUGCACAAAACGACCGGCGGCUACAACGUAAAUUCGGUUUGGUUUUAAAUACUGCACAACCAUCGCUGGUACAAUCAUCGCUCCCCCAAACGGCAUACAUCAUUUCAUCAGCAAAAGGAACAGUAUCAAUCCAAACUGGCUGCCUCACAAUGUGGGGCCAGGAUACCCCUGAGCCCCAACACGCAGGCGACAAUCGAAAAGCAUUUGCCGGGGCUGCCGAGCAAGCGUUUGCUCAUGCAGCAGGCCUCC